rnacentral:rRNA from 1 species
AAGUCUACUUGAAUUUGGGUUUUUUAACUUCGAUUUGGGUGGCGGACGGGUGAGUAACGCGUAAAGAACUUGCCUCACAGCUAGGGACAACAUUUGGAAACGAAUGCUAAUACCUGAUAUUAUGAUUAUAGGGCAUCCUAGAAUUAUGAAAGCUAUAUGCGCUGUGAGAGAGCUUUGCGUCCCAUUAGCUAGUUGGAGAGGUAACAGCUCACCAAGGCGAUGAUGGGUAGCCGGCCUGAGAGGGUGAACGGCCACAAGGGGACUGAGACACGGCCCUUACUCCUACGGGAGGCAGCAGUGGGGAAUAUUGGACAAUGGACCGAGAGUCUGAUCCAGCAAUUCUGUGUGCACGAUGACGUUUUUCGGAAUGUAAAGUGCUUUCAGUUGGGAAGAAAAAAAUGACGGUACCAACAGAAGAAGUGACGGCUAAAUACAUGCCAGCAGCCGCGGUAAUACGUAUGUCACGAGCGUUAUCCGGAUUUAUUGGGCGUAAAGCGCGUCUAGGUGGUUAUGUAAGUCUGAUGUGAAAAUGCAGGGCUCAACUCUGUAUUGCGUUGGAAACUGUGUAACUAGAGUACUGGAGAGGUAAGCGGAACUACAAGUGUAGAGGUGAAAUUCGUAGAUAUUUGUAGGAAUGCCGAUGGGGAAGCCAGCUUACUGGACAGAUACUGACGCUGAAGCGCGAAAGCGUG